rnacentral:rRNA from 1 species
GACGAACGCUGGCGGCGUGCUUAAUACAUGCAAGUCGAACGGAAAGGCCCUGCUUUUGUGGGGUUCUCGAGUGGCGCACGGGUGAGUAACACGCGAGUAACCUCUCCUUAAAUUUGGGAUAUCUUCUGGAAACUGCGGCUAAUAUCGCAUAGGAGCUCCUGCUGCAUGUUGGUGGUUGGACAAUUUCGGUGGUUGGGGAUGGACUCGAGGCUUAUCAGCUUGUUGGUGAGGUAGUGGCUUACAAAGGCUUUGACGGGUAGCAGGCCUGAGAGGGUGACCGGCGACAUGGGGACUGAGAUACGGCCCAGACUGGUACGGGAGGCAGCAGUGGAGAACAUGGCGCAAUGACCGGAAGCCAGAGACAGCAACGCCCCGUGCGUGAUGACGGCCUUCGAGUGGUGAACAAAUUUCUCAGGAGAUAAAGCCGUAGUGACGGUAAUUAGUAAAGAAGCACCGGCUAACUACGUG